rnacentral:tRNA from 1 species
GAGAGAGGCCUGCUAGCAGCCUAGAUUGCUAACCUUCGUUUACCCGGGUUGAACUCCUGGGCUCUACUCU